AGCAACAUGAUGAGGUCAUUUUAAUCUGAAUUUAAUGUGGAUCAUUAGCCUCAUUUAAGGUCUUCAAAGUUCUCUGAUUGCU